AUCAUUCAUUUGGAGUCGUGUUUCUGUCCACCUGGUGAAUUGCUCAGAACAGCCUCAGGCGUGUCAAUAAAUCCAGCCCUGCGUCCCCAGGUGUACCAUCCAGGUUCCUGCUCGUGUUUGCAGUGAAGCGGCGAGGCGGUAGAGGCUUCUGGGUUGUACACGGACAGAGGUUCCUCCCCUAUCAGCUUCCCCCUGCUGACGCUGCUGGACGAUUCAAGCUCAGAGACGCCGCUUUGUGCCGUUUCACCUUCUACAAAUAAUCUAUUUUCAGCCACCGUACAUGUUCCAUUUGAAUGUUGGACUUUCUACCGCUGCUGCAUGCAGACAAAGGGUGGUUGCAUUGACUUGUGUCUAUAUUUAGUCAUUCUCUUACCUAAUAGAUUGGGGAUUUCGUGAGAUACGAAUGGAUAAUGGAUGUUUGAUCUCUCAGACUGUGACGGUUAAGUCAUCUUAAGGAUGCUCAUCUCAAGGCUUAAGCUCCCAGUUAUUGAUUGAUCGAUUUGGGGAUUUGUUUUUAAUGUUUUUUCAAGCUGAAGAGCUGGGUUAUUACAGAUUUGCAGCAUCGUGGUGAAGGGGAGUUAAGAAACAUCUCCUACAAACAGAUUAAUAUAAAUCCACCGUGAACGUCUUUGUUGUCGUCGUAAAUACUGUUUACAGUAAAUAUAUCCUUCCAUCUUCAAGCUGGGCUUCUGCACAAUGACCAGAGAAUACUUUUUUUUAGCUCUGUGUUGUGUGAUGCAAUCAUAUUUUGUAUUGAUAUUUCAGUUAAUUUAACACCUGAGUUUAGACUCAGUAGAGUUUGAGGUUGCUGGAGGAUGGGCUUCAGCUGUUCCUCAUAACUUAGAAGCAAAGUUUCACUUCUUAGAUGAUUUAACAAAACUCAAGGUUCACUCAAGGCCUCUUUACUCAGUGUGAUUUUGGGUUGUGUGAGAUAAAAGCUGCCAAUCAUGAGGAAAACAUGGUAAAAUCUUUGGUUGUCAACCCAAAACGGUGUCCGAGAUCUUACUGUGAUACUCGUCCACCGAUGACCAGUUUGGAGCUUCGGUGAACGAAGACAGCCUGAGGCAAAAUUCUGACAGUGUCAGAUAUUUAGGACCAAAUUCUCACAAUGUGACUGUUGCUACGACCCAAAACUACAAACCAACCGAUCAGAAUACAACAUGAAAUGACACAGAAUAAACUGGCCGGCGUGACAUUUCAUAAGUGCAGUUUUUAAAUAAAGAUUAAGGAGACGUCUCUGCUUUCAAAUGCUUUUUCUUCCAUUUAUAUUAUAGCGC